rnacentral:rRNA from 1 species
GAUGAACGCUGGCGGCGUGCCUAAUACAUGCAAGUCGAGCGAAUGGAUUAAGAGCUUGCUCUUAUGAAGUUAGCGGCGGACGGGUGAGUAACACGUGGGUAACCUGCCCAUAAGACUGGGAUAACUCCGGGAAACCGGGGCUAAUACCGGAUAACAUUUUGAGCCGCAUGGUUCGAAAUUGAAAGGCGGCUUCGGCUGUCACUUAUGGAUGGACCCGCGUCGCAUUAGCUAGUUGGUGAGGUAACGGCUCACCAAGGCAACGAUGCGUAGCCGACCUGAGAGGGUGAUCGGCCACACUGGGACUGAGACACGGCCCAGACUCCUACGGGAGGCAGCAGUAGGGAAUCUUCCGCAAUGGACGAAAGUCUGACGGAGCAACGCCGCGUGAGUGAUGAAGGCUUUCGGGUCGUAAAACUCUGUUGUUAGGGAAGAACAAGUGCUAGUUGUAUAAGCUGGCACCUUGACGGUACCUAACCAGAAAGCCACGGCUAACUACGUGCCAGCCGCCGCCGUAA